UACGGAGGGAGCUAGCGUUGUUCGGAAUUACUGGGCGUAAAGCGCACGUAGGCGGUUUUGUAAGUUAGAGGUGAAAGCCUGGAGCUCAACUCCAGAACUGCCUUUGAGACUGCAUCGCUCGAAUCCGGGAGAGGUGAGUGGAAUUCCGAGUGUAGAGGUGAAAUUCGUAGAUAUUCGGAAGAACACCAGUGGCGAAGGCGGCUCACUGGACCGGUAUUGACGCUGAGGUGCGAAAGCGUGGGGAGCAAACAGG
rnacentral:rRNA from 1 species